rnacentral:rRNA from 1 species
GUGAGGAAUUAUGCGCAAUGGGGGCAACCCUGACGCUGCGACGCCGCGUGGGCGAUGAAGGUCUUCGGAUCGUAAAGCCCUGUCGAGAGGGAAGAAAAGUCCGGGUGCUAAUACCGCCCGGACCUGACGGUACCUCUGGAGGAAGCCCCGGCUAACUCCGUGCCAGCAGCCGCGGUAAUACGGAGGGGGCGAGCGUUGUUCGGAAUUACUGGGCGUAAAGCGCGCGCAGGCGGCUAGGUAAGUCGGAUGUGAAAGCCCUCGGCUCAACCGAGGAACUGCGUCCGAUACUGCCCGGCUUGAGUCCGGUAGGGGAUGGCAGAAUUCCCGGUGUAGCGGUGGAAUGCGUAGAUAUCGGGAGGAAUACCGAUGGCGAAGGCGGCCAUCUGGGCCGGAACUGACGCUGAGGCGCGAAAGCUAGGGGAGCAAACAGGAUUAGAUACCCUGGUAGUCC